rnacentral:rRNA from 1 species
CUACUGGGGUAUCUAAUCCUGUUUGCUCCCCACGCUUUCGCGCCUCAGCGUCAGUCAUGAGCCAGGUUGCCGCCUUCGCCACCGGUGUUCUUCCCAAUAUCUACGAAUUUCACCUCUACACUGGGAAUUCCACAACCCUCUCUCACACUCUAGUCUACACGUAUCAAAUGCAGCCCCAAGGUUAAGCCCUGGAAUUUCACAUCUGACUGUGCAAACCGCCUACACGCCCUUUACGCCCAGUCAUUCCGAGCAACGCUAGCCCCCUUCGUAUUACCGCGGCUGCUGGCAC